UCUACCUAAGUUCUGAUUUUGUGCAACAGAUAUUGAGUUUGGAUAUAUAUAUAUAUAUGUGUUGUAUAUUUGUAUUAGGUAGUGUGCAUGUAAUUGGAACUUGAAAUUGUGGACAUUGGAGGCCUUGGAUUGGUGUCAAUUCUUGGUGAUUUUGUGAAUUGUGGAGCUGUUUGUGUGUGGGUUAAGUGUUGCCUUGGACCAAACACGGAAAUCGGUCGAUGUAUGGUUUAGGUUUUGUGUAUUUAAAAUAUCAUGUUCUGAGAAAACUUAGGCUAGAGAACUAUAGGAUAAGUUGAAGUGGUUGAAUAUAUUGAAUGAUUAGUCUCUAUGAUGUUGAUUGAUAAUUUGAGUUGAGCAUAUGUUGAUGAACAUGGUCAUGGUGAAUCUAUGAUGUUUUCUUGGUGCUUGGUUGUAGUUGAGAAAUUGAUAAGGUGGGUUAAAUAUGUACAUAUGUAUGCUAUUAUAAUGAUGAUGUUAAUAUUGAUGGAGGUGGGAACUUAGUAUGUGAUUUGGUGAAAAGUAAAGUUUGAAGAGUUUGUGAUUUGAUGAAUAGGUGGUGGACUUGUAUUGAAAUGCUAUAUAUGUAUUGGUGCUGAUUAUUUGGGACAAGAAGUAGGUAUGGUAAAUUGAAUUUUAAAGAAAAUGGAGGUUUGAGGUUUUGAACGAAAACUUGAUUUUUUUGAACUUUGGUAGUCCGUAACUCGAACCUCAAAUUUUGGAUGAAGAUGAGAUUUGUUUCAAAUCAAAGAGGGUUUUAUAAGCUUGAGAACAAUAUAAAUUUUGUGGAAAAUUGAAUCCUGUAGAGGAAGUUAUGGACACCAAAAAUCUAGUGUAAAAACUAAAAAUUUUUAAAAUACAGCUGAACCAGAAUUUCUGGUGUGUGCCUACGCACACUGAGGUGCGCACGCACCCAGCAGUAACAACAACUUCACUUGUGCGUACGCACGCCUUUGUCCGCACACACACCUGGUGUUUUACAGAAAAUGUGCGUACGCACGGCAUGGUACGCACGCACACACCGGGGUAUGCUUUCUGUUGGUGGCGCUCGCAUAGGUGAGGCACACGCACACUAAGUAGUUCCUGGCAACUAUGCGCACACACUCUAUUUUUUCAACACUUGUAUUUUUAUGAUUCAAACAUGGUUUCGAACCUCUAAACCUCUAUUUUAUCUUUUUAACCCUAGAUCUUAUUAAUAAGCUUAGUAAUUAGUUGAGGCUAGGAAAUUGAGGUAACUUGAGGAUGAAGAAAAGGGUAAACGUGAUGAAUUAUAAGAGAAUAAUGUGAAAGCUAAAUGAAUACAUGUCGCUAUGGCUAAGAUGAAUGAUUAUAUGAUGAACGUUGAUGGUUUGAAUAUUAUGUGGCCUAUGAAUUUAAUGAUAUCUGAAAUACGAGUUUCCCUGGGUAACCGAACCAUGGCUUGCCACCACGUGUUUCAGGUUGAAACUCGAUACUCUGUUGACCCUACGUCGUAAGGGUGACCGAGCACCUAUAAAUUCCCAGGAAUGGAUUCCCCCAUUGAGUGAGUUAUAAAGGAAUGAAUGAAUAUAUGAAUUAUGAAUGAAUUAGAAAAUCUAUGCAUAGACUCAUGGGUAGCGCGACGAGAGACAGUCUAAGGUUUUCAGACUUGUCGGGUUGGCUGGAUAACCGAUAGAUGAGCCUCAUCAGUCAUACUAUCAUAGGACAGGCAUACAUCAUGUGCAUUCUGUUCACUUUGUCUGCUUUGCAUUACUUGGGAUUGUUUAACUAAAUAUAUAAUAUGCUAAUUGUUAUAUUUGCUACCUGCACUACCUGUUUUCUACUUGUGCUUGAAAAUGUUUGGUUGUCUGUCUCUGCUAAACCACUGGUGAUGGAGGAGCAGAGGAAAGGUGGAACGGGUUGAUGAUAAGGUUAGGGUUAAGUAGAUAAGUCUUGAAUUCCGUAGGACACCUACCUCUUUAUGGCUUAUGUGUAGAAUCUAAGCUUCAUAACUGAGUGUUGGCGUUCUAGGAUUGCCUCUGACAUUCCCAGGACCUUAUAUAUUAUAUGUGUGGCACCUUUACCAUGCUGAGAACCCCGGUUCUCACCCUAUACUGUGUUGUUGUUUUCAGAUGCAGGUCGAGAGGCUCCUCGCUAGGCGUCUGGAUUUCCUGAAGCGGAGUAGUCCCUGAGUUCUUUUGAUUAUCAGUUUAUUUCAUUGAAGGUGGAGCAGAGGCUGAAACAAAUUCAGAUAGUGAAGUUGACUCAGUGGAAGACCUGAAUGAAUCAAUCCUUCUUCAGAAUGAAGAACAUGAAAACAAAGGAAAAGAUGAGAGCUGUGAAGCUGCUGAAAGCGGUGCAUCUGAAAGAGAAGAUGCACCUGACGAGAGAUUGCUAACUGUAAUAGAUGAGCUUGAAGUAUUGUGACCUGAAUUUAAACUCCCUGGAAACAAAUUGAACAAUUGGAGUACCUAGUGAAGUGGGCUUCACCCAGGCUUCACAAUGGCAGGCCAAUUGAGGAGCAGCAUUUUCAGCUUUAUAGGCCACUUCUACACUAUAUGAAAGUAAAAAAGAAAAAUUAAGGUCAAGGGUAACUGUGAUUGAAUACAUUUAUUCAUAGGGUUAGUGUUUCUUAGCACACUUUUAAUUUAAGUCUAAUCACUAUAUAUUAUUAUGAAAAGUAUGAAUUCACUGAAUUAUAAAACUCUCACAUUCAAUAUGCUUAUCAGUAUUAUAAAAAAUAAGCAAGAAUUAACAUCAACCACCAACUGAAGCAAACAAGAAGCAUGAAUGAAAUCUGAGGCAAGCUAUGAUACCAGAAUUCUUGAUCUAGAAUAUAGUUUUGUUAGGUGAAGAUGCUGAAACUGAAAGAUGAACCGAGACUGAGGUGCUCUGCAUGAAACUCUACCACAUACGGAAGAUACAUAGCAUAGGGAAGAAGAAGAUGAAGAGUGAAAUUAGCAGAGUGUUGCAAGAGCCAGUGUAAGAUAAAAUAUUUUCAAGAAGUCAAAAUUUAACUUUGAUUUGUCAAUGUGUUAUCAAAAUUGAUUUUGAGGUGGAAAUUGUAAAGAAGUCAAAAUUAAUUUUGAUUUAAUAUAUUAAAAAUGAAUGUCCACAAGUUGAACAAAUAUUAAAAUCAAAUUGCACAAAUAUUAAGUUAAAAAACAUAGUAGAAUUAUCAUGAACCAAGUUGCAAGUGUCUAGUUACAAGUGUCAUAUUAUAAUAUAGUUAAAAAA